rnacentral:rRNA from 1 species
AGAUCAUCACUGGGUAUAAAGCGCGCGUAGGCGGCGUUCCAAGUUAGGGCGUGAAAGUCCUGGGCUCAACCUGGGAACUGCGCUUAAGACUGGAAUGCUAGAGGAUGGAAGAGGGUUGUGGAAUUCCCAGUGUAGAGGUGAAAUUCGUAGAUAUUGGGAAGAACACCGGUGGCGAAGGCGGCAACCUGGUCCAUUUCUGACGCUGAGGCGCGAUAGCGUGGGGAGCAAACAGGAUUAGAUACCCUGGUAGUCCACGCCGUAAACGAUGUGCGCUGGAUGUUGGGUGACCUAGUCACUCAGUGUCGUAGCUAACGCGGUAAGCGCACCGCCUGGGGAGUACGGCCGCAAGGUUGAAACUUAAAAAUGACGG